rnacentral:rRNA from 1 species
GCCGAAGGUGGGGCUGAUGAAUGGGGUGAAGUCGUAACAAGGUAGCCGUACCGGAAGGUGCGGCUGGAUCACCUCCUAA